CUUUCCUCUCCGUUUGCGGCAUGCAUUGUUCAUUUUACACCUAGCACGGGCUUGUCCGUUUCUUUUCCCCAUGAAAGAAGUUUUCGUUCCAAGAAAUUUACACUGAAAGGAAAUUCCUGGAGAGGAAUCUGAUGUCAGCAGAGGAAGCUUUUAGAUUUUCUUCCUUUCGGCAGGUGUGCAGCGUCAGAGGGUCACUGUGCCCCUUGCAACUGGGACCCCUGUUAAGAUCUCAAAUCUGUGGUUCAGCCUAGGUGGUUCAGAACAGUUCCCUCUUUUGUGUUGAGUCAGUGAAUAGUUCCAGGGUGUGAAGAGCAGAUCUCUCAAGAGGGCUUUUCUCAUGACCUUCUGAUGCAACUUUGGGCUUGUGGCCAUGGAGACCUGGAAACUCUGAACUGGAUCCCAACUCCUGACAGUGAGCCAGAGAAUGGGGGCCAGUGGGGUGGCCGUUCUCCAGGGGCUGAUUUUGUUGCUUUUGUGGUGAGAAGGCUCUGGGUGCUAACUAGGCCAACGCCACAGAACUGCUGAAUUAGAGGUAAAUAUAGGGAUUAGGGGCUUCCUUGGUGGCUCAACUGGUAAAGAAUCUGCCUGCAAUGUGGGAGACCUGAGUUUGAUCCCUGGGCUGGGAAGAUCCCUUAGAGAAGGGAUCAGCAACCCCCUCCAGGAUUCUGGCCUGGAGAAUUCCAUGGACUAUAUAGUCCAUGGGAUUGCAAAAAGUUGGACACAACUGAGCAAUUUUCACUCUGAGUUCCCUGGUGGCUCAGAUGGUAAAGAGUCUGCCUGCAAUGCAGGAGAUCUGGGUUUGAUCCCUGGGUCGGGAAGAUCCCUUGGAGGAGGAAAUGGCAACCCACUCCAGUACUCUUGCUUGGAGAAUCCCCUGGACGGAGAAGCCUGGCAGGCUACAGUCCAUGCAAUCACAGAGUCAGACACAACUGAGCGACUAAGCACAGCACAAAGGGAUUAGGGUGAGGGAUGCUGUCCCAAUAAAAUAGGAGUCAGACGCUGUAAGAGGCCCAUCUCAUUCUUGGGGGAGCAGGGUUGAAGUGGUGGAAUGUGCUUCAGUG
ensembl:lncRNA